CUUGUAUUGUGCAAAUCAAAAAAUUCUUAAUAAAUGUUGUUGAAAUUCUCUACACCACCAUGAUUUUUUAAUUUCCAUUAUCAUCAUGCAAAGCCAGUGAAUUAAGUUGAGGCGGAACAUACCUGCUUCAUAGUUAACACUUUCAAAAAGGAAAGUUUUGAAAACUGAACCCAGAGUGCUCCCCUUGGAGCUCUUGGGAAGUUUUGGUGCUUGGGCCACAGGCUGCUCACUGACAAUGCCCCUGAAUAUGGCCACCAAGCUCAACAAAUCACACAUUUUAAUGCCCCUGUGUUACCAAUGACAGGCAGUGAGUUUUGAGACUCCCACCCCCCGAUAAGCAGUCUCUGCUUAGGAGGCAGGGGAAGGAGGGGCUGAGGUGGGGCCUUUUCUCUUGGAAUGAUGACUUAGGGCAAGGGGAACAAAAGAGAACUAACGUCGACUCCCUUUACUGUUUGCCAGCCAUAGUGUGAGGUGCUUGGCAUUCAUUGUCUGUUUCAUGCUCGUGACAAUUCUAUAGGGAAGUAGCCUACUCAUUUCAUGGAUGCGGCUGAGGUUCCCACAUGUUACAGCAACAUCUCCGUUAGCCACGGAACCAAGAUUUCGGUCAAAGGGUAUUUAACCCCCAGCCUAUGCCCUUUCCUCUCCAGUAUGCUGCCUUCCAACUUGAGUUCUGGUUCCAGCUCUGUUCCUAAAGAUGGAAUCUAAGCUUUUCAGAUGAAGACCUGUGUCCCUGUGGGCUCCGUGGCUCCCAUUGCCUCUCGCUUACUGCUUAGUACAGAAAGCCUGCUUGCGUUGGGUUCGUGCUGGCAUACAAACUUCUUUGGGGUAACUGAGUGGCUGUGCGCUGGGACGGAGCUGAACUCCUCAAGCGAGGAGUCUCUUUUUAAAAUGCCCAUACAUCGUUCAGUGGUUACGAGACUUGGAAGGACCUAACUUUGAAUUGACUGAAGCACUCCUGGCAGUGUUUCUUACGCUCCCUGACAUGGAGUUUC
rnacentral:lncRNA from 1 species